rnacentral:lncRNA from 1 species
AACAGCAAAUUAAGAAACGACAACGCGGGACACGUGAUUUACUUUAUUGCCUGGACUUGGGAUACCCCAUCGACAGCAUGCCACGUGUCAGUACUGAAGUUGCCAGUCCAUAAGUAGGACCCACGUUUUUCUUUUUUUCUUUUUUUUCUGAAAUGAGCGCAAUUCACGCUCGUGUAAAAUAAGGCUUUGUUUUUUUUUUCCUCUCUCUCUCUGUUUCGUCGGAGGUAAUGAAAUGCGAGGAUUGUCGUUGGAAAUUAAAAUAAAAGUGGGCUGGGUUGAAGUGGAAAAGUCAGAGUCGGGUGAGGUAUGAUCUGUGUUUUGAUGGACGCCAGCUUUGAUAAGUGAUUGUUUUCCACAUGGCUUUUGCUGUGCGUUUCUAUCUUUCUUUCCUUCUUU